CUUCUUCCUUUCCACAGACAUACUGCUAUCAUUACUGGCAAAUUUGCUGCUGCCAUUUAUAGUACAUUAAUGAUUCCUUUUGAAUUCAAGAUAAACCAUGCUGUUUUGAUGAAAGACAGUUGUGAUGGAAAUCACAGUGAAAAAAUGCUACCCAGCCAGGGAGGACUCCAAGGCAGAAUUAAGGUACAGCUUCAUCUCUGGGCCUGAUCCUGCAGCUCUCAGUCACGAGAGGAGUCCUGGCUUGAGCAGUCCUCCUGGCUCUGAUGGGGCAGGUAUGGCUAUGCAGAGCUGUUCUCAUGGAAGAAGUUGUAGGAUGAGGUUGGUCCUUAGCUAACAUUGCCAUUUGGUAAUUUGUUUAAAUAAAUAAGUUUAAAAAAGAAAUACAUAGGAGAGGAAAAUCAGAAAGAAGAGUGGGAUGCUACAGUAUUUAAAAGCAAUGGAGUGUCUGUUUUUCCUCUGGUUUAGCAAUCUACUCAUUUCAUGAUAUGUCACUUUUUCAGCAGAAAUUGAGAACAUAAAUUUCAUAUGUUUGGAAGGAAGAAGACAACCCUUUCUACAUGAAAUGUAGAAAUCACUUAAAAAAUGUACAAAACAUUUUUGUAAAAAAAAAAACCAACACAGAAAGCUGGUGAAUAUUACAGAUAAGUUAUUCUUAAUGAAAAAUUUGCUGCUGUUAUAAAUUUCAUACUUUUCCAAAAUUUCCUUUGCAUUUUCCCCAAAUUAUUUUUUCCCAGAAUAGAAUAAGGCAACUCUAGGGGGUAUAUUUCUUUUUAUCCCAAAACAAUCCUACCCCUGAGGCAUUAGGAACAUUUGGUUGUCGUGUUAACUUAUAAUGCUCCAAACGAACGAGACUUAUGCACUUAUUGCUCAAAGAAAUCAUAACAAACACUGCCUUUAAAACCCCAAAUAAUAUUCAUAGCUCCCAAUAGCAACACACAUACUGACGAGACAUUUCCUAAUUUCAUGUUUGUACACUCUCUUGAAAAGAAUGGUUCUGUAUUUUGUAACUGUUUAUAUGCAACAUAAAAACUUCCAUGAAAAAGGGCAAGUCUAAAAACAAUCACAUAUGCUAUUAGCAUACAUACUGCAACUGUAACAAUAUGGAACUCUACACAGCAAGAAUAAAAUUAUUUCUUCUGUAGAGUAUGCACAAACCUUAGACAAUAUGAUCCUUAUACUAUACUAUUUCAAGUUAAUUUUAAAAAUAGAAAGUGCUUUUAAAAUAUAUAUUUACAGCUUAAAAACAACUUCCAGCCAUCAUUACCAAUAACUUCAUUUCAUACAUAAUGACAAAUCCAGAGAAAAAACUCAUUGGUUUUCUAAAAGAUUUAUCUGCAAUUUGGACUAUAAAGCAAUGGGUAGAAGUUGUUAAAGCAAUGGCACCAUGAAGUAAUAAUUCAGCUUAUUUAUGUUUAACUGUUUGAUGUGGUUAAGCACCAAGAGCUGUGUAGAGCUAUUACUGUAUAACUUGAUUUAACACCAUAAAAUGUGAACCUGUUAAAAUCCCUAUAAAUGAUUUUUGUAGUAAACAGACUUGAUUUAAAGCACCAAAAUAUAAAUUCCUAAAGGUAAUAAACUGAAUGAUUCAAUCAA